rnacentral:rRNA from 1 species
UACAGAGGGUGCUAGCGUUGUUCGGAAUCAUUGGGCGUAAAGCGCGUGUAGGCGGCUUUGCAAGUCGGGUGUGAAAGCCCUCAGCUCAACUGAGGAAGUGCGCCCGAAACUGCAGAGCUUGAGUACCGGAGAGGAUGGCGGAAUUCCCCAAGUAGAGGUGAAAUUCGUAGAUAUGGGGAGGAACACCGGUGGCGAAGGCGGCCAUCUGGACGGAUACGUGACGCUGAGACGCGAAAGCGUGGGGAGCAAACAGG